AUCUCAGUCCGUCUCGUUUUCAUUUUUCGCACACCAAUUUCCCGAGAAACAAACGCGAAGCUAGAAAGAGAGAGAGAGAGAGAGAGAGAGAGAGAGAGAGAGAGAGAGAACAACCAAAGUGAAGAUGUCUGAUUACGAAGGAAGGUACGAAGGAAACGGCGAGGACGCCGACAAUUAUGGCGGUGGCUCCUCUCCUCAGCCUCGUGGUAGCAGCCAUGGUGGCCCUGAAGAUCACAGCGACACCAAGUCUCAGCAUGGGUCUCGUGAUUAUGAAAGAGAGUCUUCUAAAAGCAGGGAGAAGGAUAGAGAAAAAGGGCGUGAUAAGGAGAGGGACAGGGAUAGAGAUCGGGACCGUGAUCGGGAGAGGGAUAGAGACAAGGAUAGGGAGAGAAGCAAGGACAGGGAUAGAGAUAGGGAAAGGGAUAGAGACCGAGACCGGGACCGGGACCGUCAUCAUAGAGAUCGCCACAGGGAUCGUGAUCGUAGUGAAAGAAGGGAACGUGGCCGGGAUAGAGAUGAUGAUGAUUAUUAUCGAGGUGGCCGGGACUAUGACAGACGAAGGGAUUUUGAUAGAGACAGAGAGGAGAGGAGCAAGCGGAAGUCUCGCUCUCGUUCAAAGGGUAGAUCAGAGCACAGAUCAAGGUCACGUUCUCGGUCACGGUCAAAGAGCAAAAGGAUUAGUGGCUUUGAUAUGGCGCCUCCUGCUUCUGCAUUGUUAUCUGGUGCAGCUGCUGUAACAGGUCAGAUUGCAGGGGCUACUCCGUCUCUUCCCGGAAUGUUUCCAAACAUGUUUCCUAUAGCAACUGGUCAGCAAUUUGGAGCUCUUCCUGUUAUGCCAGUUCAGGCAAUGACUCAACAGGCUACAAGGCAUGCUCGGCGAGUGUAUGUUGGUGGGCUUCCUCCUACAGCAAAUGAACAGUCUGUUGCGACAUUUUUCAGUCAUGUUAUGGCUGCAAUUGGAGGAAACACUGCUGGUCCAGGAGAUGCUGUUGUCAAUGUUUACAUAAACCAUGAAAAGAAGUUUGCUUUCGUGGAGAUGAGAUCUGUUGAGGAGGCUAGUAAUGCAAUGGCUUUGGAUGGGAUCAUAUUUGAGGGUGCUCCUGUUAAGGUGAGGAGACCUAGUGACUACAACCCAUCUCUUGCCGCAACACUUGGUCCAAGUCAGCCCAAUCCCAAUCUGAACCUUGCUGCUGUUGGGUUAACGCCAGGAUCUGCAGGUGGGCUUGAGGGUCCUGAUCGCAUAUUUGUGGGUGGGCUUCCCUAUUACUUCACUGAAACACAGAUCAGGGAGUUGUUAGAGACUUUUGGGCCACUUCGGGGUUUUGAUCUUGUGAAAGACAGAGAAACGGGAAAUUCAAAAGGCUAUGCAUUUUGUGUUUACCAAGAUCUUUCAGUUACAGACAUAGCUUGUGCAGCUCUGAAUGGAAUUAAGAUGGGUGAUAAAACUCUUACUGUUAGACGUGCUAACCAGGGUGCUAAUCAACCUAAACCCGAGCAAGAGAAUGUAUUGUUGCAUGCACAGCAGCAGAUUGCAUUGCAGAAGCUCAUGUUACAACCAGCUGCUGCAGUGGCCACCAAGGUUGUGUGUCUAACUCAGGCAGUUUCUCCCGAUGAACUCAAAGAAGAUGAUGAUUAUCAAGACAUUUUGGAAGACAUGAGAGAGGAAUGCGGAAAAUUUGCUUUUUUGUAGUCCCACAUUCUGCUUUAAAGAAUCAGGCCUAAUAUACACAGACAGAAGCCUCCAUAACCUUCUUUCUUUGUUCACCUCAUGAUGUUCCUUUGUAUAUUUUGAUAAAUUUUAUGCAUUUUGAAUCUUUAAUGUGAUUUGCAGGUACACUGGUAAAUAUUGUCAUCCCACGCCCACAACCUAACGAUGAACCAUCACCUGGAGUCGGGAAGGUGUUUUUGGAGUAUGCAGACAUUGAGGGUUCUACAAAAGCUCGUACUGGGUUGAAUGGAAGAAAAUUUGGUGGGAAUUCAGUAGUGGCCGUCUAUUAUUCAGAGAACAAGUUUGCCCAGGGGGACUACGAAGGCUAGUUAUUGUCUUGUAUUUUAGUUAAUGUCACAUUGAUAUGUUCAAUAUUUGCUGAGGUAUUCAGUUUAGAAGGUUGAAAAAUGUACUUAGUACACAGCCUAUUGUUGAUUUAGUGGAGUUGACAAAUUAGAUCUGCUAUUGAAUUAAUUAAGUCAAUGAGCUUGUGUUGUCCAUGUUAAUUGGUACAAAUAGCAAAAUGCAGUUUGGAUUGAUACUUGU